rnacentral:snRNA from 1 species
GUGCUCGCUUUGGCAGCACGUAUACUAAAAUUGGAACGAUACAGAGAAGAUUAGCACAGCCCCUGUGCAAGGAUGACAUGCAAAUUCGUGAAGCAGUCCAUAUUUAA